UUGAAGAAUUCCGGUAUUGUGAUUAGUGCUAUCCAGUGUAAGCUCAUUCGACGAGUCGAGUUUGUUUGGAAUUGCAGGCUCAAAAUGGGUGGUAAAUUUCAUCUAAGCUAAAUAUUGGCCCAGAGACCGAUAGCGCACAAGUAGAGUGAUCGAAGAUGAAAAAGCACUUUGGAAAGAGAGUUAAACAGUACGUGAAAUUGUUGAAAGGGAAGCGCUUGCAAUCAGACUUGCGGGCGGUUGAUCAUCCGAGGUUCUCCCCGGUGCACUCGAUCGUCCUCAGGCCAGCAUCGGUUUUAGUGGUGGGAUAAAGGCUGUGAGAAUGUGGCUCUUCGGAGUGUUAUAGCUCACGGUGCAAUGCCGCCUACUGGGACCGAGGACCGCGCUUCGGCUAGGAUGCUGGCGUAAUGGUUGUAAGCGACCCGUCUUGAAACACGGACCAAGGAGUCUAACAUCUAUGCGAGUGUUUGGGUGUUAAACCCAUACGCGUAAUGAAAGUGAACGGAGGUAAGAACCCUUCAGGGUGCAUUAUCGACCGAUCCUGAUGUCUUCGGAUGGAUUUGAGUAAGAGCAUAGCUGUUGGGACCCGAAAGAUGGUGAACUAUGCGUGAAUAGGGUGAAGCCAGAGGAAACUCUGGUGGAGGCUCGCAGCGGUUCUGACGUGCAAAUCGAUCGUCAAAUUUGCGUAUAGGGGCGAAAGACUAAUCGAACCAUUGCUUUAGGGCAUGAGUUGCUAGGUGGUUAAGAGAUGACCGAAAUCGUACAUCUAGUCCCUGCCAGGGGCAACACUCUCAAAUUGUUACGGGGACAUCCUGCCAACUUCUAAGCUACCGCCACUCUUUGAAAGGGGAGUUGGCACCAGGUUAAUGACCUCGGGUAUGGUAAUAACGCUUAGAUAGGGAUAAUCCGCAGCCAAGUCCUAAGGAUGUAAUAUCUAUGGAUGCAGUUCACAGGCUAAAUGUGAGUGGGCUUCACUUCAGAAGAGUGAAGUUUAAGUUAUAGUCGGACCACCGGGAGAUCGGUCUAGCAAGUGGAAGUGUGCGAAGACGGCCCUAUUUUAUAGGCUUUGCACAUGAGACGCUACUAGGGACGUCAACCUUAGGGUUGGAUCGUCUGGAG
rnacentral:rRNA from 1 species